AGCAUGAUGGUUUUAUCUGGACCUGGCAGCCUGAUGGUGUGUGGAAGGGGGAGGACAGACCAGCAGAGUCCCGUGAGAGCGUCCAUGGCUGACCUUUAAGUUCUCUCCAUCUGAAGGUCUAAAUUGGAUGUCAGAGUUGAACAACUUCUCGGUUUACGUCCACAACCUUCUACUAUCCAGGUGACGUGGACGCCAUCUUAGCUCCUUUGUCUCCUCCAGCAGGACCAGACUGUGGGUCUUAAGGUAAGUCCACAUUCAGCCGCAGUCUUUAGAGCACUAUUUUAUUACUAGGUGG